rnacentral:rRNA from 1 species
ACUCAAAUGAAUAGACGGGGGCCCGCACAAGCAGCGGAGCGUGUGGUUUAAUUCGACGCAACGCGAAGCACCUUACCCAGGCUUGACAUGCAGCUGCAUGCGCUUGAAAGAGCGCUGCCUUCGAGGGUGCUGCACAGGUGCUGCAUGGUUGUCGUCAGCUCGUGUCGUGAGAUGUUGGGUUAAGUCCCGCAACGAGCGCAACCCCUGCCGGUAGUUAUCCGUGUCUACCGGGACUGCCGUCUUUCGGACGGAGGAAGGCGGGGAUGACGUCAAAUCCGCAUGGCCCUUACGCCUGGGGCGACACACACGCUACAAUGGCCAGGACAGCGCGUCGCGACCUCGCAAGGGGGAGCAAAUCGUCCAAACCUGGCCCCAGUUCGGAUCGAGGGCUGCAACUCGCCCUCGUGAAGGUGGAGUUGCUAGUAACCGCGUAUCAGCCACGGCGCGGUGAAUACGUUCCCGGGCCUUGUACACACCGCCCGU